CACUACAGCUCACGGCAACGCCGGAUCCUUAACCCACUGAGCAAGGCCAAGGAUUGAACCCGCAACCUCAUGGGUCCUAGUCAGAUUCGCUAACCACUGAGCCACGAUGGAAACUCCAUAGCCUGUCCUCCUCUUAAAAUGGGCCAUUUGUCAUCAUUGUAAUACCUCAAGCUUAGUUAACCAAUAAUUUUUCUCAAUAUUCACUUCAUCUGAAGUCUGUUUUUCAGUAGCUUCUCUAUGUGGAAAAAUCUCUGUCUUUGCAACUCCUUCACAGAGGGUUUUUUUUUUUAACUCUAUUGUAUAUAAUCUACUGUUUAAUAUGACAAAUAUACUAGGAGGUGUUUAUAACACCAAAGCUUCUUUUUCUCUCUCUAAAAAUGUUUAAGGAGACGGUUCAAGUUCUUUUUGUAUGACUCAUUAACUAAACAUCAUGGGGAGGGGUCCCAACAAGCCAAACAUGCAGAAAAACCUGAGUUAUCUUGUGGUCAAAGACGUUUACUCAGAAGUCAGUGUUAAAUUAUUUCUAAAGAGAAGAAUAAGCUUCUUAUUCUUAUCAUUUCUCAUCUCUUGUCGUACUCUUUCCCCCUAUUUUGCCUUUGCUUAUCUCUCAUUUUUCUUUUUUUCUCUCUUUAUCCAAAGCUAUACUUUCUCUUCUUUUUUCUAUUUUCCCAUCCUAUUAAAAUAUUCUAUUUCUCUUCUUUCUGUCUCUAUAUUAUCUUAAGAGAGCAUAAACCAUUUAAAACUUGAUCCUCCCAGGAAGCAUUUCCUCCCACUUUGAUUCACAAACCCCUGUUUCUUCUCCUUGAACAUCAAUGGAAAAUGUAAACAUCACGAGGUCUGGUUCCCUGAUUAGUCCUGGAAGCACUGGCUACUUGACAAAGUCACCUGGUUCAAUGGGUGGGCUCUAGGCGGCGCUGCAAUGUGAGGUGUGUCCCUGGUGUGAGAGAUGCAGCAGUCUUGGAUCCCAGUGAGCUUUGAGGAGUUCCACCAAAAGCUUGCUUGACAGAGAGAAGAUACAGGUGCCAGGAAGCCCCAGGAUAAUUUGCCAAACACAGUGCUGACACAGGGGUGCUGGUACCUCUUUGAAAGGCCAGUUUCUGUGGUGGAGCUCUAUCUCCAGCAAAUCUGGGCUGGAAAGGUGCCCCCCAGCCCGCCCAGGUUGAGCCAUGGCUUCUGCAAGACUCUCUUCGCUUCUAAUUCUUUUUACACUGAGGGGACUGAGAGCUCAGUCUGUGACUCAGCCAGAAGAUCGGGUUCCUGUCACCGAAGGGGAUCCAGUGACUGUGAAAUGUACCUAUUCAGUUUCUGGGACCCCUUAUCUCUUUUGGUAUGUCCAACAUCCCAACCAAGGUCUCCAGUUCCUUCUGAAAUACAUUGGAGGGGACAACCUGGUUAAAGGUAGCUACGGUUUUGAGGCUGAAUUUAAUAAGAGUCAAACCUCUUUCCACCUGAAGAAACCAGCUGUCCUAGGGAGCGACUCUGCGGUGUACUUCUGUGCUGUGAGAGACACAGUGGUGGGGGCCACAGAGAGAGCUGAAUACAAACCCCAGCGUACAGAAAAAUCUUUUCAUGAAGACUUAACAUCCUUCCACAAGGGGGUGAUGUGGUUCCAAGAUUUGUCAUUCAUCAUGACAUAUCACAUGGCAUUUCAAACCAAAUAACAAUUAAAAUUUUUUUUC